UAAAAAUCGUAGGGAAUACUGGGUAAAUCUGGACCCUUCCUUGGUUACAAACUGGUCACCAAGGAAGGCCUAGGCCAAACUACCACACCUGCCCCCCUUACUUGUUCCCUCCCUCACAUCCAUGAUUGCACCCUCUUCGCACUUCCUUUUCCUUUGUUACAUAGUGGACCACACAAAACCCCUCCUUGACCUCAAAAGUAAGUGAUGAUGAUGGAGAGAAGAAGAAAAGAAGAGAGUGAUUCUGUAUAANAGUGGAAAAUGCAGUGUACCCCUUGAAUGAGGUCUUUUGAGAGGUAUUGAAGGACUAUCCGGGUUACGCAGAAUUUCCUUUGGUGAACUGUUGCUUUCUCCAGGUCAUGGGUCUUGUUCUAAAUCCAUGUUUCACUGGGUAGAAGAUUUGCUUGAAUACUCAUGUGUAAGACUCAAGGAUUAAAUCCAGAGGUAUAUGAGCAGGUUAGUGAGCAGCUCUGCCUCACGGUGGAAGUCCUUGCGGGCAUUGUCGCUGGCAUCCUUCAGUGUCUGAUGGAGAAAAUGAAAAUGUAAAGGACAGAUGUUCACAGAAGAAAUACACACAGCCCAGUACAAGCAUCCCAGGACACCAGUCUGAGAAGUAGGACCUAAAAGAAACUUACAUUCAGAGACUGAGUCAUAUUCAAGCCUGGUGGAAGUGGGUAUAAAGACAAAUGAAGAGGAAUACGUUUUCUUUGCCAAAACAAGUUUGGUGAGGGAGCAGAAGUCUCCACUAUGUAUAGCCCCUUGCAACUGGUCUACACGACACGCAGCCCAGGGCCCCUUGGCCUUUAGCAGACCAGAGCCAAUGCCAUGCCUGUACGUUUCCAUGGCCAUGGGCAGUGAGGCAUCAGUCACAGAUGUAGCC